rnacentral:lncRNA from 1 species
CAAGCAGUAGUAACCACCGAUCCAACAUGAAGACCUUUCUCAUCUUUGUCCUCGUUGCCAUGGCGAUGAACAUCGCCACUACUGCUAGGCAGCUAAACCCUAGCAACAAAGAGUUGCAAUCACCACAACAAUCAUUUUCCCAUCAACAACAACCAUUUCUGAAACAACAAUCAUAUCCGCAACAACCAUUUCCCACACCCCAACAACAAUUCCCGCAGCAACCACAACAACCAUUUCCCCAACCCCAACAACCAAUUCCCCUGCAACCACAACAACCAUUCCCUCAGCAACCCCAACAACCACAACAACCUUUUCCUCAACCCCAACAACCAUUUCCACAGCCCCACCAACCAUUUCCCUCGCAACCACAACAACCAUUUCCCCAAACCGAAGAAGCAUUCCCUCUACAGCCACAACAACCAUUCCCCCAGCAACCAGAACAAAUAAUUCUCCAGCAACCCCAACAACCAUUCCCUCUUCAACCAGAACAAAUAAUUCCCCAACAACCCCGACAACCAUUCCCCCUGCAACCGCAACAACCACUCCCCCAGCAACCCCAACAACAAUUCCCCCAACAACCCCAACAACCAUUACCCCAGCAACUAGAACAAAUAAUUCCACUGCAACCACAACAACCGUUCCCGCAGCAACCACAACAACCAUUUUUCCAGCCUCGACAACCAUCCCCCGAGCAACUAGAACAAAUAAUUACCCUGCAACCGCAACAACCAUUCUUCCAGCCCCAACAACUAACCCCCCUACAACCACAACAACCAUUCCCCCAACAACCCCAACAACCUUUUCCCCAGCCACAACAACCAUUCCCCUGGCAACUAGAACANNNNNNNNNNAACAACCAUCCCCCCAGCAACUAGAACAAAUAAUUCCCCUGCAACCGCAACAACCAUUCUUCAAGCCCCAACAACUAACCCCCCUACAACCACAACAACCAUUCCCACAACAACCCCCACAACCUUUUCCCCAGCCACAACAACCAUUCCCCUGGCAACUAGAACAAUCAUUCCCAUGGGAACCACAACAACCAUUUUCUCAACCCCAACAACCAGUUCCCCAGGACCCGCAACAACCAUUCCCUCUACAGCCGCAACAACCAUUCCCCCAACAACCACAUCAAUCAUUUCUCCAGCCUCAACAGCCAAUUCCCCAGCAACCCCAACAACCAUUCCCUCUACAGUCACAACAACCAUUCCCCCAGCAACCACAACAACCAUUUCCCCAGCCUCAACAACCAUCCCCCCAACAACCACAACAACCAUUCCCCCUACAACCGCAACAACCAUUCCCCCAUCAAACCCAACAAUCAUUUCUCCAGCCCCAACCCCAACAACCAUCCACCCUGCAACCGCAACAACCAUUACCCCAACAACCACAACAACCAUUUCUCCAGCCCCAACGACCAUUAACCCAUCAACCAGAACAAAUAAUUUUCCAGGAAACCCAACAAACUUUCCCCCAACAACCACACCAACCUCAGCAACCCUAUCCACAACAACAACCAUCCGGGAGUAGUGUUACAAGCAUCGGUGGCCAAUGAAAUGAAGACCUGUAAAACAAAAGACGGGCGGAUCAUCGUUGUUUAGUCAAUGAGCGUUCAAUGUACCGAUGAUAAAUAAAGUGAUGUGCACCAUCAUGUGUAACCCCGACCUAUACUAGUUCAAACAUGGGAAUAAAAGAUAAAUACAGUUCUUGUCACAAGGACAUUGCUGAUAAUUGUUAUAUUCAUG